UAGUGGCGAACGGGUGAGUAACACGUGGGCAAUCUGCCCUUCACUCUGGGACAAGCCCUGGAAACGGGGUCUAAUACCGGAUAUCACCUCCUGCAGGCAUCUGUGGGAGUCGAAAGCUCCGGCGGUGAAGGAUGAGCCCGCGGCCUAUCAGCUUGUUGGUGAGGUAGUGGCUCACCAAGGCGACGACGGGUAGCCGGCCUGAGAGGGCGACCGGCCACACUGGGACUGAGACACGGCCCAGACUCCUACGGGAGGCAGCAGUGGGGAAUAUUGCACAAUGGGCGAAAGCCUGAUGCAGCGACGCCGCGUGAGGGAUGACGGCCUUCGGGUUGUAAACCUCUUUCAGCAGGGAAGAAGCGAAAGUGACGGUACCUGCAGAAGAAGCGCCGGCUAACUACGUGCCAGCAGCCGCGGUAAUACGUAGGGCGCAAGCCGUUGUCCGGAAUUAUUGGGCGUAAAGAGCUCGUAGGCGGCUUGUCACGUCGGGUGUGAAAGCCCGGGGCUUAACCCCGGGUCUGCAUUCGAUACGGGCUAGCUAGAGUGUGGNAGGGGAGAUCGGAAUUCCU
rnacentral:rRNA from 1 species